rnacentral:misc_RNA from 1 species
GAAAUGCGAUAAUUAAUGUGAAUUGCAGAAUUCAGUGAAUCAUCGAGUCUUUGAACGCACAUUACGCCCCCUGGUAUUCCGGGGGGCAUGCCUGUCCGAGCGUCAUUGCUGCCCUCAAGCACGGCUUGUGUGUUGGGCUUCCGUCCCUGGCAACGGGGACGGGCCCAAAAGGCAGUGGCGGCACCAUGUCUGGUCCUCGAGCGUAUGGGGCUUUGUCACCCGCUCCCGUAGGUCCAGCUGGCAGCUAGCCUCGCAACCAAUCUUUUUAACCAGGUUGACCUCGGAUCAGGUAGGGAUACCCGCUGAACUUAAGC